rnacentral:lncRNA from 10 species
UCUAGGGUAAGUGUAACGGGAAACAAUUUUGGUGGAGAAUCACCUCAUUCUUGCUCUCUGUAGAGGGCUAUGCGGUGUCUCCUCAAUAGCCACAGACCUGUGAAACUUAAAGACUAGAGAAUGAGUUAUCCCACUUUUGUAGGAGCUAUGGGAUCUUCUGGGAGGUAAAGAAUUAUAAUCCCCCAAGGAGUUCAAAAUUAUUAUUCUUUUUCUGAUAGAUGAGGGUAGAUGAGGCCAUCUCGUAGGAAAAAAUGAAGUGCUUUCUUCCCCCUUCCUCUCCAAAGAGGCUAUCAGUGAUGUACAGUUAGGGUCUGGUUGUGAGAAAAUGGAAGGCAUUGUAUGCAUUCUGCAUGUGGAGGGUUUCGAUACAGGAAAACAGAGGCUUCAUAACUGCUGGAAGAACUUCAGGAACAAAGGGCAAGAAAGCUGCACUGAUGGAUGUUUUCCUGCAGCUUUCCUUUUCUUCUGCCUUCUAGAUCUCACGCAAAUGCUUCUCAUUAGCUGACCUGGAACCACAGAAGGAACUGGAGUCUGGAAAUGUAUUUCCUGGUUACUCUUAUGUAAUGCAUGGGAGACCUCUGAAAAGGAUGGCAGUGAUGUCAAAUUGACAAUAGGACAAUUCAGCACAGAGGGUUGGCAAGUCCAAAAUCGGCAGGCGGAGUUGGC